GGAGGACCCAUAGUUUUCAUCAUGUGAUCUUUACUGUGUGGUUUUGACUUAACUUGAGACCAACAGUGACGCCCACUGAGUUCUUAGCCAAGAAAGUAAUCCAUGAUGCCACAACCGAAGAGAAAGAGAGUUGUACCACCAAGCAUAACAGAGGGUAAUGCAUGGUGAAGCCCCUGCAUAUUACUGAUGGCAUUAUAUUCACUUUGUUUAUCUGCUAUGUGCUGGAUCCUUAUAGAAAAAUAUGGGUCCUCAUGUUUGGAUAAUUAAUGGUUUGUGGGGGGUAGGUGAUAUAGACUAUACACGAAGGAAGUGUCUGGACGAGGUGUCAUCGUCGACGAUGAGGAGGAUGGCGGCGUGUGGAGCUGGAGCAAGGGGGUGGCGCAGGGUGAAAGAGGAGGCACAAGAGUGAUAGGGAGGUGGUGGAGUUAUCGAGGGAAAACCCUCCUAGUUCAUUAAUCAAAAUCGAUUACAUCCGUGUGGAACAAAACAAUACUCCUACUAAAUAUUUCUUCCAAACUGUCCCUGCUAUUUAUGUGAACAUGUAUUGUAUCAUGAGGAUUGGACACGACUGUGCCUUAUCAAAUGUAAGUAAAAGAUUCAUCAAAGUUGCACAAUCCUAUGGGCCUAACAUGUAUAUAUAAAUACCACGAUCCGAACAUCUAAUUCUGCUUUUGCUUUAUGCACUAAGACAUCAGAAGAAACACGACUAAUGAUAUGCAUACCUUAUCUACAUGUAUUGAUGGUUCGAUGCCAUCCAUUGCUUUCUUCUCAAAGGCGAGGCAGGCCAACUUUGUUGCAUGUCUCAAGAAAAUAGAGCUAAAUGUGAGAGCAGAACAGAAGCGGCGAGUGACAAAAAUUUGAGACACGUCUGUCUGUGCCAUUCAAUGCAUUACAACCAUAUGCCAAAAUAUCUGGAAGUAUAUGUAUCCAUAAUGUAUUUCCCCAGUAUUAAAGAUGAAUUGAAACAUAUGUGCAUUUGCAUCAACGUUUUUUCAUGAACUAUGUGCCAGGCCAUGCAUGCCCUCUUCCAAUAGAAUACACGUAC
rnacentral:lncRNA from 1 species